rnacentral:rRNA from 1 species
AUUGAACGCUGGCGGCAGGCCUUACACAUGCAAGUCGAACGAGUGGCGGACGGGUGAGUAAUGUAUGGGAAAGUGCCUGCUGGCGGGGGAUAACUACUGGAAAGGGUAGCUAAUACCGCAUACCAUUAGAGGUGCCCAGAUGGGAUUAGCUAGUUGGUGGGGUAACGGCUCACCAAGGCAACGAUCCCUAGCGGGGCUGAGAGGAUGCACAGCCACUCUGGGACUGGGACUGGGUCCAGACCCCUCCGGGAGGGAGCAGUGGGGAAUAUUGGACAAUGGGCGAAAGCCUGAUCCAGCCAUGCCGCGUGUAUGAAGAAGGCCUUCGGGUUGUAAAGUACUUUCGGCGGAGAAGCGUUAUCCGCAGAAGAAGCACCGGCUAACUCCGGGCCAGCAGCCGCGGUAAUAC